UACGUAGGGAGCAAGCGUUGUCCGGAAUCAUUGGGCGUAAAGCGCGCGUAGGUGGCCCCAUAAGUCCGCUGUGAAAGUCAAAGGCUCAACCUUUGAAAGCCGGUGGAUACUGUGGGACUAGAGUACGGAAGAGGCGAGUGGAAUUCCUGGUGUAGCGGUGAAAUGCGCAGAUAUCAGGAAGAACACCCGUGGCUAAGGCGGCUCUCUAGUACGGUACUGACGCUGAGACGCGAAAGCGUGGGGAGCGAACAGG
rnacentral:rRNA from 1 species